rnacentral:lncRNA from 1 species
AUGAUGGCGCACUUAAAAAGGAGCAUGUUAUGUCAGCACCGGUGAUAAGACAAUUUAUUACUGUCUACAAAAGGAAGGCUCUAAUGCCAUAGUAGAGGCUGGCUCAGCGGGCUGUAAAUUAUGAGCCAUUCUCUGGCUGGCGGAAAUAAAUCCUCUUGUCACUCACUGCGCUCUCCCCUUGACAGGCCAGCAGGCCGCCGGGAGCAGGCAGAGUCAGGAAUUCCAUGUCCAUGACCUGAGAGCCGCACCACUCUGCCUCCCGGGCCUCACCCCGCCCCAGACACACCCACACUUAAUGACAUCUCUGAUCACAUCUUUGGGACACAUGUCCUUUUUGACUUGAAAAAGUAACAACUGUGUGUGGCCUUCUCACAGGCUGAAAAGAAGCAGGGUCCAGUGGAGAAAGGUGAGCAAUGCGAAGGCCUGGCCCGAACACUAUGACUUCAGCAAGGCUUCCUCCACCCCGCUCAGCUGCUUUCCUGGUCGGAAAAGUAGAAUUGGACCGAGAGGGUGAGCUGACAGGGGCUGACCUCUCAGGUGAUUCCUAG